AUUGAACGCUGGCGGCAGGCCUAACACAUGCAAGUCGAGCGAGCGGCGGACGGGUGAGUAAUGUCUGGGAAACUGCCUGAUGUAGGGGGAUAACUACUGGAAACGGUAGCUAAUACCGCAUACCAUCGGAUGUUCCCAUAUGGGAUUAGCUAGUAGGUUGGGUAACGGCUCACCUAGUCGACGAUCCCUAGCUGUUCUGAGAGGAUUACCAGCCACACUGGAACUGAGACACGGCCCAGACUCCUACGGGAGGAAGCAGUGGGGAAUAUUGCACAAUGGGCGCAAGCCUGAUGCAGCAAUGCCGAGUGUGUGAAGAAGGCCUUAGGGUUGUAAAGCACUUUCAGUGGGGAGGCGUUACCCGCAGAAGAAGCACCGGCUAACUCCGUGCCAGCAGCCGCGGUAAUAC
rnacentral:rRNA from 1 species